UACGUAGGGGGCAAGCGUUAUCCGGAAUUACUGGGUGUAAAGGGAGCGUAGACGGCGAGGUAAGCCUGAAGUGGAAGCCCGCGGCCCAACCGCGGAACUGCUUUGGGAACUGUUAUUCUAGAGUAUGGGAGAGGUAGGUGGAAUUCUUGGUGUAGGGGUAAAAUCCGUAGAGAUCAAGAGGAAUACUCAUUGCGAAGGCGACCUGCUAGAACAUAACUGACGCUGAUGCGCGAAAGCGUGGGGAGCAAACAGG
rnacentral:rRNA from 1 species